rnacentral:rRNA from 1 species
CAUACGGGAGGCAGCAGUGGGGAAUAUUGGACAAUGGGCGGAAGCCUGAUCCAGCAACGCCGAAGAGGGAUGACGGCCUUCGGGUUGUAAACCUCUUUCAGUACCGACGAAGCGCCGGUAAUGGUGGUGACGUAGUACAAAAUCCU